rnacentral:lncRNA from 1 species
GAGAUUCCAGGCUGUGGGGCUAGGGCUGUAAGGGAAAACGCUUGGGCUGAGUGAGCUGAGCAUAAAGAGUGUUCUCCCCACCACCAUCUGUGGGGAGGAUUGAUUCCUAGCCAAUCCUCCCCAGAUUUUUCUUAGAUUUUUUGGUUUUAGCUUGGGAAAUUCUCAGGGGAUUUGUGCUCAGGUGAUGGAGUGCGUGGCUGGCAGGUCGCUGGGACGUGGAUGAGUUUGCCCAUACAAUUCCUGGUGCCAUGCAUGAAAUCCUGGGAUUUUUAGAGUUUUCUUUCUUUUAGAUAGAAAAGAGGUUUUCUUUUCUUGGUGGUUGGUUCAGUUCAAGAAAUGGUGAUUGUGGGCUUGUAGAUCUUGUCGAGAUAUCUGUUCUAGAUCAAUAAUUUCUCAAUUUGGUGCAAGAACUAGCACAUGCAGCCUUUAGCUCAUACAACAGCAACUUUGGAAGCAUGGCAUGAGUUGGAUUCAUCACUAUUUUGAUCUUUCUUGAGCUUAUCUAGUAGAUUUAUUCAGGGUCUUUCUCUGGAGGGUUUACAUGCAUAAGUCUGGAGCACUUUUUGAGUGAUUCUUUUCUUGCACUUUUUUAUUUCAAGCAUGGGAUUGUGACAUAGAUGGUCACUUGUGUAGUAAAUUCACUACUAAAGUAGGAUGGUUUCCCCAAUGGGAUAUUAUUC